CAGUAGCCGCGGGAAAACAGAGGGUGCGAGCGUUAAUCGGAUUUACUGGGCGUAAAGCGUGCGUAGGCGGCUUUUUAAGUCGGAUGUGAAAUCCCUGAGCUUAACUUAGGAAUUGCAUUCGAUACUGGGAAGCUAGAGUAUGGGAGAGGAUGGUAGAAUUCCAGGUGUAGCGGUGAAAUGCGUAGAGAUCUGGAGGAAUACCGAUGGCGAAGGCAGCCAUCUGGCCUAAUACUGACGCUGAGGUACGAAAGCAUGGGGAGCAAACAGGAUUAGAUACCCCUGUAGUCCCUGUCUCUUAUAA
rnacentral:rRNA from 1 species